UUUACCGGCUCGCGCGCGGACGACGCGACGAGACAAGGCCGAUGGGAACGAGCAAGAGGAAGACGACGGAGGAGAAAGAGUAAAACGAUCGAACGACCAAGUUGCGAGAAGAACUGAGGACGGAAGAAAAGGCCGAGAUGAAAAGAAGAAAAAGUAGAAAGAAGAAAAAGUAGGAAGAAGAAAAUGGGGGAGGAUGGGGAGGAUCAAGCACCGGCAGCGGAGGUGUGUUUAGAGUGAGAAAUUGCAAGACGCGGUAGUGAGAGAUUGCCUCAAGGAAACCGUAGUAAAGACGAUAAUGCGAGCUUUCGUUCGGUGUAAAGAGUGACGAACAGAAACACUUGGUAAAUCCGAACAACGGGCUCUAAAAACUGCUGCUACAUUUCAGUGAAAUUAUUGGGUAUUUAAAAAAUCCUGAACAUUACACAGGUCUAGCCGUGCAUGCGGUACGGAUAAUUUGAUUAAUGAGAAGAAAAAUAAAGAAAAGAAUGACCAAAAAUAGAACAGAGAUCUGGUGCAGAAUGUCAAGAGCAGUCAUUAUAUUCUGCACAAAGAGACGACUUGAAUCCAAGUUCCUCACUUACAGUCAGCGAUUGUUACGGUUCACUCCUAGGAGCUGGUAUACCUACGGUAUAUCUAGUGUUCGUAUGUAACUACAUACCGCAUAACGCAUACCCGGCGAGCUUUCGGAGCAAUGCAUGAUGGGACGGGGUGCCGCUUGACCACCUAGAAGUUUUCCCCCGUGGAAUUGAGAAUCCAGAACGGGGACGCUACCUGGCAUUCUCUCGCGUAGGCGGGUCAGAGAUGCAUCCGCGUCGUGUUAAGAAAAUUACAUGAGAUUGUGAAGAAACGAUCCAACGGCUCGGGACAUGGGAUGAGAAAAGGGAAGCUUUUUUUACGCUCCGUUUUAUGCGCUGCCGUGCGAUGAGAUCAGUUGCUCAUAUCCGACACUUCGAUACGUAUCCGAGGAAAUUUUUUCUUCCUCUUUUGAUCGAUGAAAAUCUAACAGUCAUCAACUAACUUAUACAUCUACGCAAUUAUAGCCGUAAAUUGAAUGACUUCGGGAUCCGUUUGGCUGGAGAAAAAUUAUGGGAAUCUCGUCGACGACGUAACUUAAUGGUCCGAUAUUUUCCAAUUGGCUUUAUUUUCAUAUUUUUCGUUAUGAAUCAGUAGACGCUGAAAAAUGCGGAGGACAGAGCGACUAGAUACUUUGUCCUUCUCGAAAAUGGAUGUGGGCAGGGUGUGGAGUGAGUAUGUAUACAACGUGUUCUAUAGGUAAAAACUUAUAUGUAUACAGUUUUGAAAAGGUCGCCUCGCGGGAAACUAAAAGAGCCAUCAACCAUGCAUUUGCAUUUAGAAAGGGGUUCGCAUGAGACUGCUAUUUAUUUAUUUUUUGGUAGCGCAAAAGGCAGACCCUUUUUCCUUCAAAUUAUUAUCAUCGUUAUCAUUUGUGUCAUGAAUCUCGUACAACUCGUUACGCACGCCUGAAAAGUUGGCAAUAAUUUUAUUUUCGUCAGUUACUAGCGUAAGUUCCAUACCAAGGUUCUUCAGUUCACCAGGUAACGACUUCAAUGUUGAGUCACUUCCUACGUGGGAUAAAAAAAACCAGUGCGAAGUCUCUUACGAGUAUUAGGUGCAGGAACACGAUCAUUUAGUUAGACGUGUAUUCGUGGGAUCAACUUUAAUUAAAAUAUGAGGUAAACAAGAUUCAUAUAAAGGUGUAACGGUUGAAAUUUUCCUCUUUUCAUCAAGACGCAAUAUUGUGCAUCUGCUUGAAAUGAUAUAAGUUGGCGGGCAAGAUUUCAAUCAUAAACGAAAUAAAGAAUUCAGGCUUGAAAUUGGACUCGAUAAAUGAAUAUCUUUCGACAAUCGACCAACCGUAUAACCGGAUCAGAUAAUUGAUACAGUUGUUCCGAAGGCAGGAAAAAGCCUCGUUAGAUCAUCGCGAAGGCCUGCGGAGGAAAGCGCAUGGAAUAAAACUAAUAAUUUAAUAAAGGUGUACCAGAGGAAGAACUUGAUGACCAGGAGAUGGCUAGGGAGAUGGUGUAAUCGAGGGAUGAAGAAAAAUCGGUGAUCGGUGAUCAAACAGGAAAGAAUCAACCGCGAAACAGGAAGUUGGGAGUUCACGGGAGAAUGCAUGGAUAGCCAGGUUGAAUCAAUACGAUAAGUGGGACAGGUGGGGGUUCCUACGGUCUACGGGGUAGCAGUGUGGUGGGGGAGGCAAAUAAGUGCGCCGACUGAACUUAAGGAACGAAGGGACAGAACCAACGAAAGACGCGCCUUAACUUUUGGAUACUAGAUAACUCAGAUUAGAAUCGGUUGAAUGUCUAACCAAAUAUGGUAUGAAGUCGAUUGACUUUCGGCGAUCUAUGGUAAACCGUCUUCACUUCUGUUGCAAUCACUUCCAUCUAUGCCUCUAUCGGAACCAACGAUAAUUUAUCAUUCGAAUGCACAGGAAUAGCACCGAAAUAUGUUCCCCGAGGGGAUUGACCUAUGAUCAAACAUUCAAAUGUGAUUUUAUCGUAGGGUUGACGUACGCUCUCGCAUACCUGUGCAUCAAAUUAAAUAGAAAAUCUCAUCAAUUUAUGUACACCGGGUUUGUGAUGAUAUUUAAUAAGUCUAAUCGAUGACAGCAAGCUAUGAAUUUCAUAGUCGGUAAUAUUAUUCCUUUCGAUUAUCAGCUAUUAAUUAAUGCCCGUAGUCGGUUGUCUUUCGUUUGAUAGUCGAUAGUACAAGUAUAACUGAAUAUGGUGAAUUGAAUUCAUCAUUAAAUCAUUCUUUUCGUCUGCAGUGAAGCUCGAAUCUUUGGGUGUCAUCAUUCGGGCAAGAAAAAUGCAACCAAAGUUGAUGCGUACGAAUGCAAAUGAAUGCAAAUUCACUUUUACGUUUGCGUUAAAACAGGUUAUGGAAUGGCUUAUUUACAGCCACAUAGUCUCCUUGAAAAAAAAAAUAAUCAUCGUCUUACAAUCUGAUGAGAUAAGGAAAUUUUCUGGCAAUUCACGAUUCAGCGACGACUUUAACGAAGUUGUUUUCUUUUCCUUUUUGCAUGUAACAUGGUCGUAAAUUAAUUCGAGCAACUGGGUCGAAUUCACGGCUCCGAUAAUUGUGUUUCGCUGUAUAAUAAUGAGCCACAAAAUAUGACAGAAAAUUCUUGCUGCUCCACGUGCCCCAGUUUUAUCAUUAUUUUAUUAUUAUUUUCAUUUUCUACCUACAGUCUCGGAAUAUCGAAACGUAGUCUCUUAACGGCCAACACCUGCCACAUCUGCAUUACUCGCAUAGGCACUGGUAUAGAAAAAAUUUUUCGACAAUGACGAACAUGCAGAUGUAAUAAUGAUACGCAUUAAACUGAUACGACGUAAUAACGUAUACCAGGUGUGCCUUACAGCUGCAAACAUCAAUAUUUUAUCAUAGAUCAAUUGUCACUAUCAUUUAAAGUUUGUAAACAUAAUUAAAUCAUACAGGUCACGUCUUGCGUAUAGGUAAAUUUUUUAAAUCACACUCAGCAAGGACCGUGAUCCUUCGAAGGGCUGAGUUCCGAUUGGCUAUCGAAUACGACGUCAGGACGUUCAGGUUCACCUAACCUGCUCAUUGCUCUGCCGGUGAACGGAUUGAUGCAAAUUACGCCCUUUUACCUGAGUACAAAAUAUCUCAAAGCUGAGAAUUGCUGCAGAAACAUAUGCGACAAUUAUAGAGAUAAAUAUUAUAGAUCGUUGUGUGAAGCGAUGUAUUAUCGCACGGUCUUGCAGCGGAGAAAAUAAAUUAUGAUCUACACAUUAUCGACUGUCUCAGGUUUGAGAACUGUCAACGAUAACAUCAAGGAGUUAUUACUCUGAGGGAUGUGGCAGAUUCUUAGUUCUAAUUAUUGAAUGAAGACUCAAUUGUCGGUACCUUUCGUUUUGCGUUGGAAAACGUUGAACUUUAUUGUGAAAUUUGACGGUAAACAACUAUUUUACGCAGCACGAACGCACCGUACACCUUCACUCCAGCAGCCAUUACCGCCUCACUGAAAACUACUCAAC